UAGCUUGUUAAGCAAGUCCUUUGUGAAAUCCGGCAUCUCAAGUGUCGGGCUUGCAAAGGAUACUGCUUGGCUAGAGACCGGGAGACGUAAGGAGUAUGAACGGAGUAGUGGUCAAAUGCGUUGAUCCCGUUCAGACUAACAACAGCGAAGGCACCUUACGAGAACGGAUCUGACAGUGAGGGAUGAAGGCUAGGGUCGCAAAACGGAUUAGAUACCCGUGUAGUCCUAGCGGUAAACGCUGCACACUAAACAUCAGUACCUCUUCGAGAGGUAUUGGUGCUGAAGGGAAGCCGGAAGUGUGCUACCUGGGAAGUAUAGUCGCAAGGCCGAAACUUAAAGGAAUAGGCGGGGGGAUACUACAACGAGUGACGCGUGCGGUUCAAUUAGAUUCUACACCGUGAACCUCACCAGGAUCGACAGCAGAAUGAAGGUCAGUCUAAAGGGCUUACCUGACACGCUGAGAGGAGAUGCAUGGCCGACGUCAGCCUGUGUCGUGAGAUGACCUGUUAAAUCAGGUAACAGGCGAGACCCGUAUGUAUAUUUGCAAUGAACAAUAUACAGACUGCCUUGAUAACAAGGAGGAAGGUGCGGGCUACGUUAGGUGAGUACGUCCCGAAUACCCUGGGCUACACGCGCGCGGCAAUGCUGCAUUCAAAGGGCUGCGACACCGAAAGGUGAAGCUAAUCUCAUAAACUGCAGCUUAGUUCAGAUCGAGGUUUGCAACUCAGCCUCGUGACGCUGGAAUUCGUAGUAAUCGGAUUUUAUCAGAGUCCGGUGAAUAAGUC
rnacentral:rRNA from 1 species